AACCACAAAUAUCCAUAAAAAACAAAACAAACCAUUUGACUAACCAAGUAGAUGUGAUCGAACAGUAACUAUAAACUACAGUACCGCAAGGGAACCACUAAAAGCACCAAACAGCAAAGAUAAACACUUGUACCUUUCGCAUCAUGGUUUAGCUAGAAACCCAGGACAAGAAGAAUCACAGCCCACACCCCGAAACCAGAUGAGCUACUUUAAAGCAGCCUAUAGGGCACACCCUUCUCUGUAGCAAAAGAGUGGGAAGACUUGUAAGUAGAUGUGAAACGCUUAACGAAUCUGGAGAUAGCUGGUUACCAAAAAAUGAAUUUUAGUUCAACCUUAAUACAAAAAAUAACCAAUUAUAAUUUAAGGGUAAUCAGUAGGGGUACAGCUCUACUGAAACAGGAUACAACCUGAAUUUGAGAGGAAAACUAACAACAUAAACCCGUAGGCCUUCAAGCAGCCACCAAAAAAAAUAUCGUUAAAGAAUUAAACACAAAAAUCCCAAAACCAACAAAAAACUCCAAAUAAACUAAUGGUAAAUCCAUAUAUAUGGAUAUUAUUAUGCUAAAACUAAUAAUAAGACAACCCCUCUAACACGCACCUGUCCACUAGAACGGAAAACCCACUAGCCAUUAACAGACCAAAACAGGCAUUAACUAACCAAUACACAUCUUAACACAAACUGUGACCCCAACACAGGAGCGUAUAAAGAAAGAUUAAACACUAUAAAAGGAACUCGGCAACCAAAGACCCCAACUGUUUAACAAAAACAUAACCUUUAGCUAAACAAAUAUUAAAGGCAACGCCUGCCCAGUGAACAAUUCAACGGCCGCGGUACCCUAACCGUGCAAAGGUAGCAUAAUCAUUUGUCUAUUAAUUAUAGACCAGUAUGAACGGCAAAAUGAGGGCCUAACUGUCUCUUAUAGUAAAUCAAUUAAACUGAUCUUUUAGUAAAAAAGCUAAAAUUACAACAUAAGACCAGAAGACCCUGUGAAGCUUAAACUAAACUAUUAAACCACAUAAUAACUACUUUCGGUUGGGGCGACCUUGGAAAAAAAAAGAACUUCCAACAAACAUUAAUUAGGCCAACAAGCCAACAAACUAGACCCAGCAAAGCUGAUAAUUGAACCAAGUUACUCCAGGGAUAACAGCGCAAUCUUCUUCAAGAGUCCAUAUCAAAAAGAAGGUUUACGACCUCGAUGUUGGAUCAGGACAUCCUAAUGGUGCAGAAGCUAUUAAGGGUUCGUUUGUUCAACGAUUAAU
rnacentral:rRNA from 1 species